UUGCUACUCCCUCCGUCCGAAAAUACUUGUCACCUAAAUGAAUAAAAGGGGAUGUAUUUAGAUGUAUAUACAUCCUUUUUUAUCUAUUUUGAUGAUAAGUAUUUUCGGACGGAGGGAGUACGAA
rfam:Triticum aestivum genome assembly, contig: Triticum_aestivum_CS42_TGACv1_scaffold_290500_4AL